AAUCAAGAGCGCCACCUUCCAAGCCCUGGCUCGGUGGCCGGCAACCCUCUCACGGUAGUGGGGUGCUCCAGGUGAUGAUUCGGCCGUUCGGCUUCCCGAACGGCAAGUACCGCAC
rnacentral:ncRNA from 1 species